rnacentral:rRNA from 1 species
AACGAACGCUGGCGGGAGGCCUAACACAUGCAAGUCGAACGCUGUAGCAAUACAGAGUGGCAGACGGGUGAGUAACGCGUGGGAACGUGCCUUUCGGAUCGGAAUAACUCAGGGAAACUUGAGCUAAUACCGGAUACGCCCUUCGGGGGAAAGAUUUAUUGCCGAAAGAUCGGCCCGCGUCCGAUUAGCUAGUUGGUGUGGUAAUGGCGCACCAAGGCGACGAUCGGUAGCUGGUCUGAGAGGAUGAUCAGCCACACUGGGACUGAGACACGGCCCAGACUCCUACGGGAGGCAGCAGUGGGGAAUAUUGGACAAUGGGCGCAAGCCUGAUCCAGCCAUGCCGCGUGAGUGAUGAAGGCCCUAGGGUUGUAAAGCUCUUUCGCCAGGGACGAUAAUGACGGUACCUGGAUAAGAAGCCCCGGCUAACUUCGUGCCAGCAGCCGCCGUAA